UAAGUCCUACGGGGGGCAGCAGUGGGGAAUAUUGCACAAUGGGGGAAACCCUGAUGCAGCAACGCCGCGUGAGUGAGGAAGUACUUCGGUAUGUAAAGCUCUAUCAGCAGGGAAUAGAAAAGAAGGUACCUGAAAAAGAAGCCCCGGCUAACUACGUGCCAGCAGCCGCGGUAAUACGUAGGGGGCAAGCGUUAUCCGGAAUGACUGGGCGUAAAGGGAGUGUAGGCGGCCUUGUAAGUUAGAUGUGAAAUCCUACGGCUUAACCGUAGAACUGCAUCUAAAACUGUGAGGCUGGAGUGCAGGAG
rnacentral:rRNA from 1 species